UACGUAGGGUGCAAGCGUUGUCCGGAAUUAUUGGGCGUAAAGAGCUCGUAGGCGGUUUGUCGCGUCUGCUGUGAAAACUCGGGGCUUAACCCCGGGCCUGCAGUGGGUACGGGCAGACUAGAGUGCGGUAGGGGAGACUGGAAUUCCUGGUGUAGCGGUGAAAUGCGCAGAUAUCAGGAGGAACACCGGUGGCGAAGGCGGAUCUCUGGGCCAUUACUGACGCUGAGGAGCGAAAGCGUGGGGAGCGAACAGG
rnacentral:rRNA from 1 species